UACGUAGGGUGCAAGCGUUAAUCGGAAUUACUGGGCGUAAAAGCGUGCGCAGGCGGUUGUGUAAGACAGAUGUGAAAUCCCCGGGCUCAACCUGGGAACUGCAUUUGUGACUGCACAGCUGGAGUGCGGCAGAGGGGGAUGGAAUUCCGCGUGUAGCAGUGAAAUGCGUAGAUAUGCGGAGGAACACCGAUGGCGAAGGCAAUCCCCUGGGCCUGCACUGACGCUCAUGCACGAAAGCGUGGGGAGCAACAGG
rnacentral:rRNA from 1 species